rnacentral:tRNA from 1 species
GGAUGUAUAGCUCAGUGGUAGAGCUGUGAGCUUAGCAUGCACAAGGUCCUGGGUUCAAUCCCCAGUACCUACA